GACUGUGAUUGAACAUUUGCAAAAGAACGCGAUGUCUUUACAAACAGUAACAUGAGAGCUCAUAAAGAAGAGAAAGGAACUUUAAAACUAAGAAAUUCGAAUAAGUCAAAUAACGAAAUGGUUUUAAUUGGAGACGGAAAUGCAUCAGUUCCAGCCAGACUUCUCGAGAACAUGGACUAGACUUAUACGAAUGGCACUCGUAAACUUUUGACAGCUGCCUUUUCAAGAAAGGUAUUGGCGGCUCAUUUAGCAUCUCUGUUAGCGAACAGGAAAGCCUUCACCGGCUUUUCCUGACAAACCUGCUAAAAAGAAACUAGACGCAGCUCUAGUAAAUGAUAUUGUUUAAACUGUGGUAGAAAAUUAUUCUGUACCAGAGAAUGUAGUAAGAUAUCGACGCUGCGUAAGCUUUACUGGAGUUGCACAUAAACCCCCACCGGAGUCAUCAUGAUAAUACU